UCGGUGCAGACUUAGCCGUCAUGAGAGGCCUGAAGGGCCCUUGAAUUUCCGCUGUUAGUAGAGACAAUUUGGCAGGCAGAAGAGCCAAGGCUGCAUCAGCGGCUUGGAGUACGCGGGCCUCUCACUGUUGUGGCCUCUCCCGUUGCGGAGCACAGGCUCCGGACGCGCAGGCUUAGCGGCCAUGGCUCACGGACCCAGCCGCUCCGCGGCAUGUGGGAUCUUCCUGGAACAGGGCACGAACCCACAUCCCCUGCAUCGGCAGGCGGACUCUCAACCACUGCGCCACCAGGGAAGCCCCUAAAAUGACAUCUUGAUUCAUCACUCUCUCUGAUUCAGAUAUGAUUGGUUAUUGCCAUGAAGACUGUGUUUGAGAGCACCAGAGCACCCCCCACCCUGGAGACAAGCCAGUGUGUCAGGGUAAGCAGGAGUAGAUAGUGAUUCUGUACCAUCCUCUUUGUUUAGGGCCUGGUAGUCCUAGUAAAGCCUGGCCUUCUUACCUCACUUUUUCACAAAAAUCCCUUGUAAGAAAGAAUAAAUGUCUUUUGCACCCCUA